rnacentral:sRNA from 1 species
UGUUCUCUAGGUAACUCUGAACAAUCUAAGAAGUCACAAUCAUCUAAGAACAUUGACAGUGAUGGUGAUGUGACGAGGAUUGGUCCCGGAUUUCUUAGUUGCUGUCGAGAAUAGCUACUUUCAAAAACAAAUUGAUAGACAAAUGACAGAGGAAGACAGAGGUGACCACAGGCGCUACUGCUAUUGAAAGCGAGCUGCAUGCUUUUAAUCAGAAUAUUAGUGAACAACUUGCUUCUUAUAUAGAAGACCCAAGCAGAAUGGUUGGGCAGAUGCAGAUGUGGAAAUUAGCAGUUGCUGUAUUUGGCACUGUUCCUGUGGGGGAGACCACUGCAAAGGGAAAGGUGACAUAAUCUGAUGCUGGUGCACAAGUUGAUGGUGACCCCGAACUUUUGGAUGACUCUGAGUUAUACCAGACAUUACUGAAGGAAUUUUUUGAGACAAUUGACCCAGCAUCUUCUGAGACAGCCGUUCCUCCUAAUGCUUCCUGACAAUAAUAAUUCGGGUUGAAGAAGCAGAAACCUGCUCCGUAGUGUAGUAGCGAUGCAAGGCUGAGCCAACUCUAUAGUCCUUAGAUCUCGGGCUAAGAAAUUGUUUGCUGUUUAUUUAUUUGAUAUAUUAUUCAAUUUAAUCUGUUAUACUUAUUCACACAAUUUUUCAGUGGGAGUCG